AUUGAACGCUGGCGGCAUGCUUUACACAUGCAAGUCGAACGGCAGCGGGGUAGUGCUUGCACUACUGCCGGCGAGUGGCGAACGGGUGAGUAAUAUAUCGGAACGUACCGAGUAAUGGGGGAUAACCAAUCGAAAGAUUGGCUAAUACCGCAUACGUCCUAAGGGAGAAAGCGGGGGAUCGCAAGACCUCGCGUUAUUCGAGCGGCCGAUAACUGAUUAGCUAGUUGGUGGGGUAAAGGCCUACCAAGGCGACGAUCAGUAGCGGGUCUGAGAGGACGAUCCGCCACACUGGGACUGAGACACGGCCCAGACUCCUACGGGAGGCAGCAGUGGGGAAUUUUGGACAAUGGGGGCAACCCUGAUCCAGCCAUGCCGCGUGUAUGAAGAAGGCCUUCGGGUUGUAAAGUACUUUUGUUAGGGAAGAAAAGGGAAGUGCUAAUACCACUUUUUGCUGACGGUACCUAAAGAAUAAGCACCGGCUAACUACGUGCCAGCAGCCGCGGUAAUACGUAGGGUGCGAGCGUUAAUCGGAAUUACUGGGCGUAAAGCGAGCGCAGACGGUUAUUUAAGCAGGAUGUGAAAUCCCCGGGCUUAACCUGGGAACUGCGUUCUGAACUGGAUAGCUAGAGUGUGUCAGAGGGGGGUAGAAUUCCACGUGUAGCAGUGAAAUGCGUAGAGAUGUGGAGGAAUACCGAUGGCGAAGGCAGCCCCCUGGGAUAACACUGACGUUCAUGCUCGAAAGCGUGGGUAGCAAACAGG
rnacentral:rRNA from 1 species